CGGCUGUCAUCCAGGCACAGUUCCUGGAGAAGAUGGUAAAAUUCAUCAAGAUGUGUGCGCCUUUGGAUGGUGCUGUGAACCCAGACAUGUCGGCAUUUGGCUUUCCAGCAUAUUUGGGACUUCCACAACAGCCACCCAGCUGCUUUCAAACUUGAGUUAGUGUGCAAAUGUGAAACUUCUGAUACAUUCAUCUACUCAAAAGGGACACCUACAAAAAGUGAAAGACAUUGAAGGACGACCUACCAUUUCUGACUGAAGACUGAGGAAUUUUACUCUGCAAUGCCUCUGCAAUACAAAUGAAAGAUGAAACAAAAAAUGUCAUGUACUAAAGUUAGAAGAGAUAGACCUCUAUCAGGUCUAUGGAUGUCCUCAGGUUACCAGGUUUGGAUUGUAAAUCACGAGGGGAAACGUUAGGUGUAGCAUCAUUAGAUUUCCCCACCUCCCACGACCACUGGGACCUCAGAUGUGCGUCAGAUGGUAAAUGUUAAGACCUGAUGGCCUCCAGCUUCAUGGAUGCAAAUGAUGCUCUCAAUCACAGCAGAG